AUGGAACAGCCGAGGAAAGAGUUCAACUGGACUAAACGCAACGAGGUCAUGUAUAUGAGUGGAAAUUUCUCUGUUAAAACCCGCAAGGCCUUGAUGGUGGACUUCAAUGAUAUGGAGAGCGAGGCCAAGGUGAUGCUUGCGUGGACCAAGGUGUGUGGAGAAGGUAUCACCCUAUUUGGAGCGUCGCGUGUGGUGCUCCUCGAUGUUGUGUGCAACCCUUCUGUCCAAAGGCAGGCGAUUGGACGUGCAUAUCGAAUUGGUCAGCAAAAGAUUGUCCAUAGAAACAAUCUAAUCGGAGAAGGAACACAAGAGAAGGGCACAUAUGAUAUCCAAGCUAAGAAGGAGCAAAUGUCCAAAUUGUUGUUUUCAAGUGGGCCACAGCCUGCGGAGUGCAACCCGUCAUCGGAAUUUAUUUCCAUUGACAGGAUUUUGGAACAAAUGACAGAAGAUGAAAAUCUGAAAGAAAUUUUUGUGAAUAUACUCCCAUCAUAA
rnacentral:rRNA from 1 species